AUUGAACGCUGGCGGCAGGCCUAACACAUGCAAGUCGAGCGAGCGGCGGACGGGUGAGUAAUGUAUGGGGACUGCCCGAUAGAGGGGGAUAACUACUGGAAACGGUGGCUAAUACCGAAUACUGUCGGAUAACCCAUAUGGGAUUAGCUAGUAGGUAAGGUAAUGGCUUACCUAGGCGACGAUCCCUAGCUGGUCUGAGAGGAUAAUCAGCCAACCUGGCGCGGGGACACGGCCCAGAAUCCUACGGAGGCAGCAGGGGGGAAUAUUGCACAAUGGGCGCAAGCCUGAUGCAGCCAUGCCGCGUGUAUGAAGAAGGCCCUAGGGUUGUAAAGUAUUUUCAGUCGGGAGGCGUUACCGACAGAAGAAGCACCGGCUAACUCCGUGCCAGCAGCCGCGGUAAUAC
rnacentral:rRNA from 1 species